rnacentral:tRNA from 1 species
AAAAUGUAGCUUAACUAAAGCAUCUGUCUUACACACAGAAGAUAUCAGUAUUUAACUGAUCAUUUUGA